UGGGGAAUAUUGGGCAAUGGGGCGCAAGCCUGACCCAGCAACGCCGCGUGAAGGAAGAAGGCUUUCGGGUUGUAAACUUCUUUUGUCAGGGACGAGUAGAAGACGGUACCUGACGAAUAAGCCACGGCUAACUACGUGCCAGCAGCCGCGGUAAUACGUAGGUGGCAAGCGUUAUCCGGAUUUACUGGGUGUAAAGGGAGCGCAGGCGGUCCUGCAAGUCUGAUGUGAAAGCCCGGGGCUCAACCCCGGGACUGCAUUGGAAACUGUGGGACUUGAGUGUCGGAGGGGCAAGUGGAAUUCCUAGUGUAGCGGUGAAAUGCGUAGAUAUUAGGAGGAACACCAGUGGCGAAGGCGGCUUGCUGGACGACAACUGACGCUGAGGCUCGAAAGCGUGGGGAGCAAACAGGAUUAGAUACCCUGGUAGU
rnacentral:rRNA from 1 species